rnacentral:tRNA from 1 species
GGAUUAUAGUUUAAUUUAAAACAGUUAUUUUGCAAAUAAAAGUUAUUUAUUUAAUCUGAA